UAAUACGGAGGGUGCGAGCGUUGUCCGGAUUUAUUGGGUUUAAAGGGUGCGUAGGUGGCUGUUUAAGUCAGUGGUGAAAUACGGUUGCUCAACAAUCGAGGUGCCAUUGAUACUGAAUAGCUUGAAAUAAUUGGAGGCUGCCGGAAUGGAUGGUGUAGCGGUGAAAUGCAUAGAUAUCAUCCAGAACACCGAUUGCGAAGGCAGGUGGCUACGAUUGGUUUGACACUGAGGCACGAAAGCAUGGGGAGCAAACAGGAUUAGAUACCCUGGUAGUCCAUGCUGUAAACGAUGAGGACUCGUUGUUUGACGGUAACGUUGAGCGACUUAGGGAAACCGUUAAGUCCUCCACCUGGGGAGUACGCCGGCAACGGUGAAACUUAAAUGAAUUGACGG
rnacentral:rRNA from 1 species